CGGGCUAAAUUUGUGGCUUUACCGUGUAGCAGUGACGGGCCAAAUUUGUGGCUUUACUGUGUAGCAGCGACGGGCCAAAUUUGUGGCUUUACCAUGUAGCAGUGACGGGCCAAAUUUGUGGCUUUACUGUGUAGCAGCGACGGGCCAAAUUUGUGGCUUUACUGUGUAGCAGCGACGAGCCAAAUUUUUGUCAUGAUAAAGACCCCCAAAAUAGAUGACACAUAAACUGAUCACAAAUGCUUUGAUAUAUAUUAUGGAAUGGUGUGUGUGAGUGAUGAUUUUUUUCCCAUUAAUUCGCUUAGAAGGGCCUUUAAUUAAGAAACAUGAUCCCCACAGCUACCGGGUUAAGAAUGGGAAAAUGUAAAUUAGGGAGGAGUAAGUAGUUUUAAGUAUUAUAAGUAAAUGCAAUACGUAAAACUUCUUAUUCCUCCCCGAUUUACGUUUUCCCAUUCUUAAUUAAAUUCUGGCAUUACAAGAGCAAGCAGGAAAUAGGGCAAUAAAUAGGCAAAUAUGACACAAUGCAUCAUGGAGAACAUCAAGGCUGACAAACUGAUCCUUGCUUCAUGCCUCAGCCAGAGAGAAGGUCAGCCUGUUUCAUCUUAAUUAUGUAACUGAAAUUAAUCUUGUUUUAACACAAAAACAAACAAACACAGGCAUAGGAAUAAAUAAGCUGAUCCUUGGUUCAUGCCUCAGCCAGAGAGAAGGUCAACCUGUUUUACUUUUAUUAUAUAACUGAAAUGAAUCUUGUUUUAACACACACACACACACACACACACACACACACAAACACAGGCAAAGGAAUAAAUAAGCUGAUCCUUGCUUCAUGCCUGGGCCAGAGAGGUCAGCCUGUUUUACUUUUAUUAUAUAACUGAAAUGAAUCUUGUUUUAACACACACACACACACACACACACACACACACACACACACACACACACACACACACA